CCUCCAGAACUCAGUGCUCAUGCUUGCUGUGCGCAGUUUUAAGCGUUCCUCCAUCCACAGCUAGGACUCCGAUGGGUGCAUCUGCGAUCAGUCCUUGGUGCUGCGGAGAGAGUGAAGGUCCCACCAGCAGUGACAUGACAUGAUUUGUGGCUCUGCACCUCGUUGCCCUCAUCGAAGAUAGUCAGGAGACCCUAGAAAGAUGCCAUUCACACCCUGGAGUGCUGUGGGCCAUGCAAGAGCAGCUGGACACAGGAGCAGCUUCCUGCCUAGACCCGGGCCGCUUCCCCAGAAAGAGGAACCAGCAGUGGUGGCUGGAGCGUCUGGCGGCGAUAAAAGGUUCUGCCUUCAGGGUUUUUUUGGCCUUAUUUUCUGUUUAAAGAAGGCAUAUUUUCUUCCUUUUAUUUUAUACAUAGGCAGCCUUACAGCAGGAGGCAAACGAGUAGACAGCAGACAAAUCUAUAUGAUGUAAUUCUGAUUGGAAAGAGCAGGGCAUAGCUCUUUUCCAAGGAGACUUGCUGCCACCGAUCAGCCGUGAGAGCGUGGACAAGCCAUUUCAUCUCUCUGGACCUCGGCCUCCUUAUUUGCUCAGAAAUGUCCACUAGGUGGCGGAAGCGACUCACUUGCCUCCCUGCAGAGCGCCUGCUUUUUGAGAGACUACAAAAUUAGCCCCACGUGAUAGUCCAGCUCUAUAAAAACAGAGUCCUCCUUGUGAAAAAACAAUGCAAAACUUCAUUAUAUAAAACAGUGGAAAAUUUACCAACGAUAUGUAUAAAGGGUGGAAAACCCAUUCAGAAUAAUAUACAGACACAUCUAAUGACUUCUAAUCAGGCACUAUUCUAACCUGACUUUUCCUUAAGAACUCCUAUUUCAAGGGGUUCUAGCAGGCUCUCUUUCAGAGUUCUGUCUGUCUGUCUCAGCUUCUGUCCUAUGAUUUUGUGGAGUUUAUUUCUGCCUUUUCCUGAGGUUUGAAAAAAACUGUGCAGUCUCUUUCUUCCUACGUAGAUCUUCACACAAAACGGGCAAAGCUUUGCUGUAUGGGUUACUUGAUCAACCAUUUGAAGAUGGACAAAAAAAGACUUUUUCUUUCUUUGGCGAGGAAGAUUGGCCCUGAGCUAAUAUCUGUUGCCAAUCUUCCUCUAUUUUACCCGGGACACCGCCACAGCGUGGCUUGACGAGUGGGGUAGGUCUGCCCCCAGAAUCCGAACCUAGGAACCCUGGGUCGGAGAAGUGGAGUGGGCAAACUUAACCACUACGCCACCAGGCUGACUCCGCAAAAGACUUUUUAAGCUGCCUGAACAUAAGUACUGAUGUUUUGGAGCUCGGGCAAGCCAUAGAACCUCUCUGAUCUCAGCUUUCUCACCUGUAAAAUGUGGGUUGUCAUAACACCGCCCUCAUGGGGUUGUUUUAAGAUUGGAUAAGAAGAGGACAAGGAGACACUCCGAAAAUUGCAAAUCACUCUAUCAAUGUUGUGGAUGAAUAUAUCUCUUUAGAAAAGAUGCUGCCCGGAAGAGAAACCGUCUAGUUAAUUUUAAUAAGCAAGCUGGCUUUGGGGGGUUAGCUCACAAGUGUGACGAUUGUGGAACAAUCCAUGCAUGCUGAGUGUGGAGGGCGCGCUCCGCCCCUCCUCUGGAGUCUGGAACCCGGACCUCGGCGGCCAUCCUGGUGGAAGCCCACGCAGUGGCCCACGUGCAGUCUGCUCGGCAUAACACGCCGAAUGGCUGCUUCACUGGGAGGAGGCCAUUGUGAAAUCGGUGGUUUCCUGGAGCUCGUCAUCGCCAUAAAUAAAGAAUGUGAAAAUUGAGAAGUUAAUUUUCCACUUCUAUCUUUGGGGCAAAGCAGGCUAUUUAUCAUCUCAUCAAACCAGGGUGGUAACGCUCUGUGUAGAGUCCGGAGCCGGCCUAGGCGGGGUCUACACGGCUUGUGAGCGGCGCAGAAUGGUUUUUGCUGCUGG
rnacentral:lncRNA from 1 species